rnacentral:rRNA from 1 species
GACGAACGCUGGCGGCGUGCCUAACACAUGCAAGUCGAGCGAAGUAUUUAAAGAAGAUUUCUUCGGAAUGAAACUUUAAAUAUCUUAGCGGCGGACGGGUGAGUAACGCGUGAGAAACCUGCCUUUCACAACGGGAUAGCCUCGGGAAACUGGGAUUAAUACCGUAUGAAGUUUCUUUUUAGCAUUGAGAAGAAACCAAAGCGCAAAGCGGUGAAAGAUGGUCUCGCGUCCCAUUAGCUAGUUGGUGAGAUAAAAGCUCACCAAGGCGACGAUGGGUAGCCGGCCUGAGAGGGUGAACGGCCACACUGGAACUGAGACACGGUCCAG